rnacentral:rRNA from 1 species
GACGAACGCUGGCGGCGUGCCUAAUACAUGCAAGUCGAGCGGAACUGGGGGAGCUUGCUCCUUCCAGUUUAGCGGCGGACGGGUGAGUAACACGUGGGCAACCUGCCCUGCAGAUCGGGAUAACUCCGGGAAACCGGUGCUAAUACCGAAUAGUUUGGCGCCUCUCCUCAGGCGCCACGGAACGACGGUUUCGGCUGUCCCUGCAGGAUGGGCCCGCGGCGCAUUAGCUAGUUGGUGGGGUAACGGCCCACCAAGGCGACGAUGCGUAGCCGACCUGAGAGGGUGACCGGCCACACUGGGACUGAGACACGGCCCAGACUCCUACGGGAGGCAGCAGUAGGGAAUCUUCCGCAAUGGACGCAAGUCUGACGGAGCAACGCCGCGUGAGUGACGAAGGUUUUCGGAUCGUAAAACUCUGUUGUGAGGGAAGAACACGUACCAACUAACUAUUGGUACCUUGACGGUACCUCACCAGAAAGCCACGGCUAACUACGUGCCAGCCGCCGCCGUAA